rnacentral:rRNA from 1 species
GAUCAUGGCUCAGGAUGAACGCUAGCUACAGGCUUAACACAUGCAAGUCGAGGGGCAGCAUGGUCUUAGCUUGCUAAGGCCGAUGGCGACCGGCGCACGGGUGAGUAACACGUAUCCAACCUGCCGUCUACUCUUGGACAGCCUUCUGAAAGAGAUAAUACAAGAUGGCAUCAUGAGUCCGCAUGUUCACAUGNUAAAGUAUUCCGGUAGACGAUGGG